GCUGCCUGAGGAGGACGUGGCGGAGGCAGCGGCCUCGGGUCAGUGGUUCUGUGGUACUCCAGCAGGAAGCAGUGAAAACAAUUGCGCUGGACACGUUCCCAGCUGUAGGAGUAAGGCAUGGACUAGAAUGAAAAUGCUGGGAUCACUAUCAGGAGUUGAAUUUGUGCUGCUGGGGUGCAAGGCCAAUGAGUUCUUUUUGAUAAACCUCCUCAUACACUGAACCUGCCCGAGUACCCAGUGAUGUCUCCAACAUUUCUGCUAAUGAAUGUUUUUUUCAUCUGAGGAAGCUCUUCACUCGCUGCUUCUUUUUCUCUUCUGUUAACCUGCACUCCUGCAGACAGGCAGGGAAAGUACCAGGUUGCAAGCCCAGGAUGGGUGGAUUUUUCAUUGUGUUAGAUUGGAAAGCUGGAGUUCGAACUUCUCAGUGAGUCUGGCAACUUCUUUGCUGUUUAGCUUUGGUAGCUAGUUGUAGGGUCAUGUUUUGUGUCAUAUCUUUUUUAGUUUUUCUUUUUAUUGAAUUAUUGGAAAGCAGGGUAGCAUUAGACUCAACAAUUGAAAUGAAUACACGAUGACCAGUGUAGGACAAAGACCAGUUCUGUAUUUUUGCAAACAUGUAUACCAAAAAUAUAUAUUUCUUAUUUUUGGACAACUUUUGGGCAUAAUUUCCAUCCACAUUUAAGUCUCCCUCCCUGUGAUAAAAAGAACUGAGAGUUACAAUGAAAUCAGAAUCUUUGAAAGGAGUGUAGGUGCUCAAAAUAAUCAGAAAUUAGCAGAAUAGAAAAAGGUAAUCACAGAGCCAAAAUAUCAAAACAAAAGAGCGAAGUGCUUGCAGUAGCCUUGUUGACUUUGCAUUACAGAUACCUAAGUGUUGGUUAAGUAAAUCCCACUUUCUCUGGGCCAGAAGGUAUUUUGUGAUUUACUGUAUAUUUACAAGAUGGUGGGGCUCUCCAGAGAGUUGUGUUCUCAGUUGUCCUUCUUCUCUAGCAAUGAGAACAUUCCCAGAUGAUGAUGAGAAAAAGUUACUUUAAGUUGUAUGUGGACUGAAAAAAAUACUUGCAAUGGCCUUCAUGAUGUCAUUGGACAUAAAGCCAGCUAAAUUCUUCCCAAAUCUGGAAACUAAAGCUUGGUUUUGGAUAAAAGACCUGGUUUUAAGUGUUCUUUGGUGCUGCCAAGGGGUCAGUCAGCCUUUAAAGCAUGUAGCACUCCUGCUGCUGUCAUGUCAGUUUAAGAACAGAAGCGGAGUCUCAAAGCUUUCUCAGCUACUAAUGAUGUUCUUCGGGGGCCAGGGAACUGACACUGGCUGGCACCGCUGGUGAACCUGGACCAGACAGACACACAGGCAAGUUGCCACCUGGGUUAGGGGCAGCACUUCUUGCCCACAACAUAAUGGUGUGAUUCCUGUGACUACCUACAUGAGGACAGUGAUAUUUUCCCCUCUUAGAAACACCCCUAAUAGCUCAAAGUCAUUAGACUGAGGCAGAGUCCACGACUUCUCACCACUCUCAGUGCAGACCAACUGGUGCUGAGAAUUAGUUCUCUGAGGCAGAAGUAGAGGCAAAUAUAUCUUUCCCUUUCACAGUUUCUUUGUUUCUCAUUUCUGCUACUUCUUGCUCUUUUCUAUUGACUGGUGAGGCCACCAGAGCUGUGGUUCAGGUUCACCUAAGUUAUGACACCUCCCUUUAUUUGCCUAUACAAAAGUCCACUUGUGACCUUUGUGUCUGAGCUGCUGCUACAGUCAGUGGGAUGUACACUUGGUGAAGUCCAGAAAUUGAUUCCAAUGAAAUUGAAUCCACAGAACGGCUUUUGUGUAGCUGAUUAAGCUGCCUAAGGGUAGGUGUCUAACGCCACUGGAAACUCCACAGGGCAACACAUCUUCACAUCUUGCUUCUGCUUACGAAGCCAUAAGGAGCACGGGUUUAUUUAGGCCUGGUAAUGAGAAACUGGGGUCUACCUUAUGUUUUCCUCUGCUAUUUUUUAAAAUGUUUGUUCUUCUAUGGUUGUCUUUGAUAUUUCCUGAUAAUAAUUCCUCAUGAGGCUUUUUGUCUCAGAUUAAGCCUAUUUCUAGGGAGAGUCUUUAUGAGGAGAGAGCAGAUUAUUUCUGGAGAGAAUUUGUAAUAGGGAAAUGUUGGCAGUGGUUACAGUUAUUAUUAAAAGUUGCAUGAGAAA